rnacentral:lncRNA from 1 species
ACUUUUUUGGAUCUCUGGAUUGACAGUUUUUAUCAAAUUUAGAAAGUACUUGACCAUCUUUCAAAUAUUUUUGCUCACCUAUCUUUUGCUAGGAUUUCAUUUGCAUAUACGUUAGACCACUUGAUAUUGCCCCUUGGCUCAAUUCACUUAUAUUUGGUCUUUUUUCUGUAUACUUCAUUUUGCAUAGUUUCUAUUGUUCUUACCCAAGUUCACUGAUUGUUUCCUCUGCAAUGUUUAAUGGGCUCUUAAUCCCAUCCGGUUAUUUUUCAUUUAAUAAAUUAUAUUUUUAUCUCUAAAAAUUUUAUUAACAUAUUUUAUGUCUUCCAUUUCUCUCCUCCUUAUGUUCACAUUUUCCUUUAAUUCACUUGUGUAUUUUUUAAAUUUAUAGUAGCUGUUUUAAUGUUUUUGCUCGCCAAUUACAUCACUUCUGUCGUUUCUUGUCCCAUUUCUAUUGACUAAUUUUUAUCCUAGUUAUGGAUCAUAUUUUCUGCUUCUUUGCAGGCUGAGCCAUUUUUUGUUAGAUGCUGGACAUUGUGAACUUUACAUUGUGAAGUACUGAAUUUUUGUAUCCUUUUAAAGAGUUUUGAUUUUUGUUCUGAUGUUCACUUUAAUACACCUGAGGAUUAGUUUGAACCAUUUGAGGCUUUGUAUUAAGCUUGUUAUGGUGGGUCCAGAGAAGACUUUACUUGGCUGUUUGUCCACACUCCUAAGGCCUGACUCUUCUGAGGGCUGUACCUGAUGCCCUGUCUAUGACAAGGCCUCUCCAAUCCAACUGGUGGGAACACAAAUUAUUCUCUGUAUGAAUGCUGGUAAUUAUUUUGCUCAUUCUUUUCCGGUGUCUACUUCCAAAAUUCCUUUCAGUCGCGUGCAAAUCAGUACUUAGUCAAAUAUUUUAUGAAACCCCUCUACAGUUCUGCAGAAGUCUGUCUCUACUCAAUGCCCUACCCUCUAGUUCUCUGUCUCACAAUUCUAGCAGCCUAAUCUCCCCGAACUGUGAUUUCUGUCUUCAUGAGUUUUUUGUAAUAUUCCUUUAAAGUUAUUGUAGUAUUCCUAUGGAGUAUGCAACUUUAUUCUGGAAGGUAAUUAAGUGACUUUUGGAUCAACUUCAUCUUUUCAAGGUUUGAUUUUACGUGUUUUAAGGUAAGUAGAGGUAGCCUUUACUGUAGAACUAGUUUAGCUCUACUAUUAAGCUGAAACCCUCUGGGAUCUCUACUCAAUGGCCCAUUUAUUCAAUGAGGUCUCUCUACUUUCUCUGAUGGGCACUAAAAUGAUCCCCAGGCUUUUGGGAGUUCUAAAAAUUUUCUACAUUACAGCACCUCUGUAAAUGUUCAUUCCACAGCAUUUGUUCUUUGCCCAGCCUCAUGGAGUUUCACCCUUCAGGCACACAGAUUUGAAUUUAGUCUCAAAGACUCAAGGGAGGAAACCCUAUGCAAAUUUCUGGAGUUCUUUUUCUAGCUCCUUUCUCUCCUUUUUACUGUCCCACAAAUUUUAGCUGCUUCGGAACCCCUGAACUUCAAUUACUAUCAUCCCAUCUUAAUGAGACCUUCCUACACUGUGGUUAGAAAUUGUCCCCAGACAGAAAGCCAGUGCAGUUAAAAUGCUCAUCUAGAUUAUUUCCCUUCACUCAAAGAUCACAGUCCUGUGCUGCCUGUUGUCCAUUUGUUUAAUUCCACCCUCUCCACCCUGUUUCUUGUUGUCUACAGUAGGAGGGAGAGGAGUCCCAGAGUAGUUACUUCUUUAAGCAUGAAAGCAAAAGUCUAGCUUUGACUUAAUAAUCAAACUGAUUCUUUGUAGCAGUCCCUGAAAUUCUUGAACUUACAGAGUCAGUGAUUGAAAAUGGUUGAUGAAACUUCCUUUGCUUUUGAACAUGAAAGAAAGCGCAUGAGGAUGGAGGCAGUAAGAUGCUAUAUUAAUGCUGUCAAGCCCAUAGUUCAUGGCAAUAGUCUUUCUAAUGAAAAUCAUGCCGGGGGUAUUAUUAUAAGGCCAUAAUAUCAAUUUAUUUAUUUAUUUGUUAAUUGACAAAUUAACAUAUUUAAUUUCCCUUUUUCCACAGAGCAUCAUAAGGGGUCCUAUUGGGGAAGAGAAGAAUCGUUGAGUUUCAGCCAAGCUUUAUCUCCUUAUUGAAUCAUAAAAAAUAAUACAGCUGGCCUGGCGCAGUGGCUUAUGCCUAUAAUCCCAGCACUUUGGGAGGCCGAAGCGGGUGGAUCACUUGAGGUCAGGAGUUUGAGACCAGCCUGGCCCACAUGGUAAAACGCUGUUUCUACUAAAAAUACAAAAAUUACCCAGGUGUGAUGGCGGGGGCCUGUAAUCCCAGCUACUUGAGGGGCUGAAGCAGGAGAAUUGCUUGAACCCAGGAGGUGGAGGUUGCAGUGAGCUGAGAUCGUGCCACUGCACUCCAGCCAGAGCAACAGAACGAGACUCCGUCUCAAAAAAUAAUAAUAAUAUAGCUCAUAAAAUCUAUGCCUGGAGAGAUUUUCGUGUUUGCUGCUGUAAAAGUGACAACAAAUAAUAUACCCAUUAUUAAUAAAUGGUUUUCAGUUAUUUAUUGAUUUAACAAACUAUUUUUUAAUGCCUACAAUGUGCCAGGCACUAUAGUAGGCACUGGACAUACAAAUAUAGAGAAGAAACAGCAUCUGAUGUCAGGGAGCUUAUGACACAG